AUUGAACGCUGGCGGCAGGCUUAACACAUGCAAGUCGAACGAGUGGCGGACGGGUUAGUAAUGCUUGGGAAUCUAGCUUAUGGCGGGGGAUCACUACGGGAAACUUUAGCUACUACCGCGUACCCUAGGAUUAGCCCCAGUGGGAUUAGGUAGUUGGUGAGGUAAAGGCUCCCCAAGCCGACGAUCUCUAGCUGGUCUGCGAGGAUGACCAGCCACACUGGGACUGAGACACGGCCCAGACUCCUACGGGAGGCAGCAGUGGGGAAUAUUGCGCAAUGGGGGCAACCUGACGCAGCCAUGCCGCGUGAAUGAAGAAGGCCUUCGGGUUGUAAAGUUCUUUCGGUAGCGAGGCGUUAACUACAGAAGAAGCACCGGCUAACUCCGUGCCAGCAGCCGCGGUAAUUC
rnacentral:rRNA from 1 species